rnacentral:rRNA from 1 species
GUCUUUUAGGAUUAAUUUAAAGUCUAACCUGCCCAUUGAAAUUUUUAAAAGGCUGCAGUAUUUUAACUGUACAAAGGUAGCAUAAUCAUUAGUUUUUUAAUUGAAAACUUGUAUGAAUGGUUGAAUGAAAUAUUAACUUUUUUAUAAAAAUUAUUGAAUUUUACUUUUUAAUUAAAAGGUUAAAAUAAAUUUAAUAGACGAGAAGACCCUAUAGAUUUUUAUAAAUGUAUUUAUUUUAUUGGAUUAGAUAAAUUUAUAUAUUUAAUUAAUAUAUUUAUUUUAUUGGGGUGAUAGUAAAAUUUAAUUAACUUUUAUUUUUAAUUUACAUAAAUUAAUGAUUAUUAAUUAUUGAUCCAUUUUUAAUGAUUAAAAGUUUAAAUUACCUUAGGGAUAACAGCGUAAUUUUUUUUUUUAGUUCGUAUUAAUAAAAGAUUUUGCGACCUCGAUGUUGGAUUAAGAUUUAAUUUUAGGUGCAGAAGUUUAAAAUUUAAGUCUGUUCGACUUUUAAAUUCUU